UACGUAGGGAGCAAGCGUUGUCCGGAAUCAUUGGGCGUAAAGCGCGCGUAGGCGGCCCGAUAAGUCCGCUGUAAAAGUCAACGGCUCAACUGUUGAAAGCCGGUGGAUACUGUGAGGCUAGAGUACGGAAGAGGCGAGUGGAAUUCCUGGUGUAGCGGUGGAAUGCGCAGAUAUCAGGAGGAACACCAAUAGCGAAGGCAGCUCGCUGGGACGUUACUGACACUGAGGCGCGAAAGCGUUGGGGAGCGAACAGG
rnacentral:rRNA from 1 species